rnacentral:lncRNA from 1 species
AUAGGAGCAUGAAAAAUCAAACAGUUUUAUUUCACUUUUGGCUCCAAGUGAAGAAAUUAAGAACAUAUCUAAAAUAUAGGGGUAUCGACUAUUAAUUCAUAAUCAGAUUAAUAUUACUCCUUUGAAUUUAGGAGUCACUGAAAAUUCUUUUACACUAGCAUCUAAUUAUUUGCCAUUAUUAAAAGUCAUAAGAUGUGUAUCUGGGUCAUUGCUCAGUUGAGGGAGUUAUGGCUUUUAAUAAAACAUAUUUUGCUGUAUGUUACUGAAAGAAAGCCAGAAGGACAGGUAAUUUAUAUGAAAUGUGCUGUGUUCACUCCCUCCUUCCUGCAUCCGCCAGGAAGUACCAGCCAUAUUAUAUUAUAAGUACCAUUAUAUUUUUACACACAGGGGCCGUGGCUGUCUCUCCUCUCGCUCUCACACUUUCAGUCUGCUCUCUGUUUUGCUUAAGUUUGUUAAGAUGAGACCCAGGCAGUCCCUUGUUUUUGCAGUUACAAACUAACUUGACUUCCAGAUACAGACAGAUGCUGUGGAUAGGUUUUAUGGAGAGAGGUUAGUUUAGUUUUGUGGGUGUUCUCUUGGGGAGUUUGUAUUUACUUCUGAAGCCAGUGGGGAAGUAAGCUUUCUUUGUGGUCCUGGGAGAACAGGCUGUCAGCUUCUAUGCGUCAGCAGUCGAGCUGGGAAAGACUCCACUCUGUUGCUGUGCAGACAGGUCACCAAGUGACCGGGGCGGCUCCUUCCCUAUGCUGGAUGAUAAUUUCUGAGACCCUAAGCCAGGGAUCUGGAGACUGGUUCCAUCGACGGUGAACUGACAGUAAAGGAAAUGCUCAUUGGGAUAAAAAUGGUGGGUAAAUGUGUUGUUUCAGGUAAUGAAGUCUUUAAUAAAGCCUGUGGAUUUUGAGAAUUGCAAUAUGUAAAACUUCCUGGAAGUAGAGCAAAAGAGGGGUACUAUGUAUUCAAAGGUUUUUGGGUUGUUUUUUUUUUAAUUAAAAAAAAAAGUGUG